AUGAAAAUCCUUUUCGCAUGCAAUUUGAAAUACAGGGACAAUGAUCCAGAGGACAAAGCUGCAAGGUUGGUCUCGUAUUGGCAGGAGGAAAUACAGAAGCCAUCAUGGCGUCCGUUUACUAAUAUUCAGGUCGAUGAAGAAGAUAAGGAGGUUAUAGAUGACAAUGAUCCAAGACUAAGCAAGCUGCGGCUUGAUUACGGCGAUAGCGUCUGCAAUGUAGUGAAGGAUGCACUGAGAGAGCUCAACGAGUAUAGUACUCGUGGACAGCAUGUCAUGAAUGAGGUCUGGAACUUCCGGGGAGGGCAGAAAGCAACGAUGACAGAGGUGAUCACCUGCAUUUUGGAGCAGCUGUCAGCGGCUGACCCAGGAUUGCGAGGACAGGAAUUCAAGGUUCCCCCAAAAAAUUGUUCAAAUUCAAUAUAA
rnacentral:rRNA from 1 species